rnacentral:rRNA from 1 species
GACGAACCGUGCGAACGUUGUUCAGAAUCACUGGGCAUAAAGGGCGCGUAGGCGGCUUUUCAAGUCAGGGGUGAAAUCCGGCAGCUCAACUGUCGAAGUGCCCUUGAUACUGAUGAGCUCGAGGGAGGUAGGGGUAUGUGGAACUUCCGGUGGAGCGGUGAAUGCGUUGAUAUCGGAAGGAACGCCGGUGGCGAAAGCGACGUACUGGACCUCUUCUGACGCUGAGGCGCGAAAGCUAGGGGAGCAAACGGG